UGAAUUAUUAUAUUUUGUGCUGGUAAUCAUCUGACACUGCAGAUAAAUACAGAAGAGGUGCUCUGUGAAAGGGCAGUAGGUUUUUGUUGUGGUGUAGAUCACUGUGUGGUGUUAUGCAUUUUCCGUCUGGAGUAAAGGUACUCAAGUCACCGUUACCACAGAACUUCCGAAGGAACCAACCUCCCUCUUCCCUCUAAUGACAUGCCCACAAGGCCCCACGGAUCAGCUGACCCUGGCCUGCAUUGCCAGCGGAUUUUUGCCUUCUUCCUCCGUGACCUUCCAUUGGAAGGACACCAGCGGAAAGCCUGUGUCUGACUUCACUCAGUACCCAGCAGUGCAGAUCAGUGGGUCUAAAUCCUACACAAGCGUCAGUCAUCUCCGCGUAAAUGCGGCAGAGUGGGAUGCUAAGAAGACAUACAGUUGUUCCGUGAACUAUUUGUCACGGCCCGGAGUAAAGGACGCCAGUUUCCAGAAACCAGUGCCCAAGUCACCAACGGUGAGCCUGCUGCUGGUACCCAGCGGCGCCAGUCCCCCAGACGCCCUUAUCUGUGUCAUACGGGACUUCUACCCCAAGAGCCUGAGGGUGACCUGGAGAGUAAAUGGUAAAACCCUGACCGGAUCAUCCAACACCUGGCAAUCAGAGAAGCAAGCCUCAGGACUGUACUCAGCCAGCAGCACUGUGAAUGUGGACCGCACCAAAUGGGACAGGAAUGAAGAGUAUACGUGUGAAGUACUGCACCAGCAGAAAACCAUCGAGCAGAAAACUUCCAGAGUCCAGUCUACAGAAAAACCCUGUCUGGAGGUGACCCUGAAGCCCCCAAAGAUGAGAGAAUUGUUUGUAGAUAACCAGGCUGUGCUGGACUGCGUCAUCACUGGGGGAGAUGAGGCAGCAGUGGAGGGAGCCAGUGUUACCUGGACACCGAGUGGAAAGAGCAAAGAGAGUCAGACCACUCGGCACGGACAUGUGUUCAGGAAGACCAGCACUCUGACUCUGGGACGGGAACACUGGUCCACCAAUCAAAAGGUUGAGUGCUCUGUCCAACAGAGCAAUAAGCCAACCAUCAAAAAAUCCUUCAGCAACAGCGCGUCAAAAGUUCCCGAGGUGGUUUUAAUCACACCCAUAAAACAGGACAGCGAGUUUGUCACCCUGGUCUGUGUAGUGACAGGCUUCUCUCCCUGGGACGUGUUUGUCAUGUGGACAGUGGAUGAUGGAUCCUAUGAAGAGGGCAUCACCAGUGAGCCUGUGGAGCGCGACAAUGGCAUCUUCUCUGUCACAAGUUUGUUCAAAGUCUCGACAGCGAAUUGGAAUUCCCGGUCCAAAGUCACCUGCAAUGUGAAGCACAUUUCUAUGCGCAAGGAUGCAGCCCCUAUCACAAAAUCUGUGUCCAUAACAAGUGAAACAGUAUCAGCUCUGAAUUGUAAUGAGGAAGGCGAGGAAGAAGAUGAGCUUGGCAGUCUGUGGUCCACCACCUCCUCCUUCAUCGCCCUCUUCCUCUGCACUCUCAUCUACAGCACCCUCCUCACUUUGAUCAAGAUGAAGCAGUGAAGUGCUGUACAGUGCAACACAUGGAAGAUGGGGUGAAAGCUUAUUUUUUGAAUGUAUUGAUAGUUGCAUGUCAAGAGUGUGUUGUAUAGAAGAUUGUGUCAUGUUAUCUUGAGCUGAAUCUCUCUGUUUUUUCCAUUACUCCACAGUGUCUAUGUUUAGAUUUCUUUCAUUACCUAAUGAGUGAAAAUGUCUAUGAAUCCUGUUUAUACCAGUGUUUUCUGUGGACAUCAGACCCACAGUGCAGUACAUCAUUGGCUGCAGUUUAGUCCUAGGAGGAAAGGUUUUAGUUGGCAGUCCUGUACUCAACCCACUAAGCAAAAAAGAAGCACAGCUCUGGUGGAUCCUGCCUGCAAAUUUCUCCGCUACACCCAUGACUGGAACUCCAGCGCUGCUAUCGUUGGAGCCGGCCUGUGUCCACUGCACAUGAAGUGCACUCUUCUGUCCCACUGAGAGCAGAGCUGCCCUGGGGCCACAGAGUGAAAGAGCUCAGCAGAGCCGCUCUGGGGCCACAGAGUGAAAGAGCUCAGCAGAGCCGCUCUGGGGCCACAGAGUGAAAGAGCUCAGCAGAACCGCUCUGGGGGUACAGAGUGAAAGAGCUCAGCAGAGCCGCUCUGGGGGUACAGAGUGAAAGAGCUCAGCAGAGCUGCCCUGGGGCCACAGAGUGAAAGAGCUC